CCUCAAUUUUCUUUAAUUUUACGGUCCAUGAAUGCCCUAGCAGGCCUUCGCAAUUGGUCUUGCAUCAGAUGAUGGGCCAAGUGGGAAUUGAGCUUGAUGUGUUCGGUCCAUUCUUGGAGUACUAGAAUUUGCUAAGAAUAAUAAGCAGUGAUUAUUGUACUUUGUAUAGAAAUCCUCAGUCUACUGGGCAUCCACGAUGAUGGACAAUGUGGGAACGAAACUGAUCUGCUUGGUCCACUAGUUUGGCACUGAAUUGCUGAUGACCUCCAUGGCCAGUUAUCCCAGGAAAGAGAGGCAGUGUAUGUGAUAUUGGUGUGCCAUCAAGAAGGCACUAGAAUGAGGCAGUGUAGUGUUGGCAAUAUUGUAAUGUAAUGGGUUAACUGACUAGAAUGAGGCAGUGUCCUGCUAUCUCUCUGGGAGAUGAAAAGUCACCAAGAAUGAUACUAACCAGGGUUUAGUUCAGUGACAUCGCUGAUCCAACAACAUAAGGUUAUUUGGUAUUAUCAAUGGCCCAAUCAAAAUCAUAUGCACAGAAUUGAAGCUAGGAGAUCAGGAGUAGUAGCAAAUUAGCAAUGCUUAGAUGCUUGUGCCCUUGAAAAAGCCGAAUACUUAAGUACUUUCCAGCUAGAAAGUAAUAAGGGCUAAGAUCUAAUGGAUUACCAUGUAUCUGAUGUUGGAUGUUAAAUGAUGUGAUGAAGUCACAGUAUAUGUACUGUUGAUUGUGAUGCCAUAAUGAGAUAAGCAAUGUCUUAAGCAAGUCUCUAUGGUUGGUGGCAUCACUUAGUAAUUCAAUGUUGUCAAUAGUGACUCUAAUUCAGGCAUGCAUUAGAGAGGAGAUAAUUCUUGUGUAUUUGUUGAAUUGGGUGACAUCAAGUACUAGGAAGUUGACAUGGUGACUUGGGAUCCUUCAUCUCAAAGUGUUGUAGGUGCUCUUUAACAAGAUUUUAAAUUCUGUGGGAUGAGGUUGUCCCGAUUUUUUCAUGGAACGGGAUGUGCCGCCAUCCCGCCCCAUCCCGAUACUUGGGAUAGCGGAUGUCUCAAGGCGUCUCGAUUGGGAUGCUAGCGGGAUGGCCCUGUCAUGACAUAUGGGAUAGUGUUAUAUCUUAAUGUCCUGUGGGACGUCCUGCUGGGAUCUAAAUUCUUGCUUUUUAACUGGCUAAAUGUUAAAAGCAUUGCACUAACUCUAGUCAUGUUAUCACUAUGGGUUUGAAUGGUAUAAUUGAUUGAGGUAUAGAGGAAUAUGACAUGAUCAUUCUUGUCAAAAAUGGGGCUGGCUGCUAGGAUUGUAUGACUAGAUUUCUUUAUGCUUGGCACUUGCUUGACACAAUUGAAUGCCUAAAGAAGGUAGUAGACAUGUCGAGGAGGAUGGUAAAGGCUUGGGGACUAUUGUUUAUAGACCCUAUUAUUUGUUAUGAAGAUCACCAUGCUGAGACAUUCUUUGGUACUGAAAGAGUAUUGGGCACAAAAUUGGUUACAACUGUUUAAGACAAGGAAUGAAAAAUGGACUUACUAACAAAA
rnacentral:lncRNA from 1 species